CUCUCUCAUAGGUCUGUCCCUAUCAUUGACCAAUUUGAAACACAGACUGCAAUCCCUUAGUGAUUAUAUCCAGAUCUACAGACACAGUUCUAUUCCUAGCGACAGCAUGGUGAUCUCUGAUAAAAAAGAAGCUGGCACCGCAAAUGAAGCUGUACUCUCUACCAUGACCUGUGUUGAAAUCGGAGGAUUGCCUGCCAUGGAGUCAAACCUCUCAGUUCUAGAUGAUUUCAAAGUCGUAGCGAACUCCUUCGACAGUCUCAGCAUCACCAAUACCGGCACCAAAAGCAAUGACACCACAGACGACGAAAUUGCUACCCCCGAGAAUGACGUCGAGCAUGAGCAGGAAAACAACAACUCCAGCGGAGACGACGCAGCCUCCGUCAUUUCCAGCACCAGCAGC
rnacentral:sRNA from 1 species